rnacentral:rRNA from 1 species
AUUGAACGCUGGCGGCAGGCCUAACACAUGCAAGUCGAGCGAGCGGCGGACGGGUGAGUAAUGUCUGGGAAACUGCCUGCUGGAGGGGGAUAACCACUGGAAACGGUAGCUAAUACCGCAUACCAUCAGAUGUGCCCAGAUGGGAUUAGCUAGUAGGUUGGGUAAUGGCUAACAUAGGCGACGAUCCCUAGCUGGUCUGAGAGGAUGACCAGCCACACUGGAACUGAGACACGGUCCAGACUCCUACGGGAGGCAGCAUUGGGGAAUAUUGCACAAUGGGCGCAAGCCUGAUGCAGCAAUGCCGCGUGGAUGAAGAAGGCCUUCGGGUUGUAAAGUACUUUCAGCGAGGAGGCGUUACUCGCAGAAGAAGCACCGGCUAACUCCGUGCCAGCAGCCGCGGUAAUUC